rnacentral:piRNA from 1 species
UUUUACACUUGUCAGUGUUGGU